GAUGAACGCUGACAGAAUGCUUAACACAUGCAAGUCAACUGUGGCGGACGGGUGAGUAACGCGUAAAGAACUUGCAUCACAGAUAGGGACAACAAUUGGAAACGAAUGCUAAUACCUGAUACUGUGAGAGAGCUUUGCGUCCCAUUAGCUAGUUGGAGAGGUAACGGCUGACAAAUGCGAUGAUGGGUAGCCGGCCUGAGAGGGUGAGCGGCCACAAGGGGACUCGGGCACCGCCCUUACUCCUCCUGGCGGCAGCAGUGGGGAAUUGUGGACAACGGACCAAUGUCUGAUCCAGCUAUUCUGUGUGCACUAUUAUGUUUUCGGAAUGUAAAGUGCUUUCAGUUGGGAAGCGGUACCAACAGAAGAAGUGACGGCUAAAUACGUGCCAGCAGCCGCGGUAAUAC
rnacentral:rRNA from 1 species